UUGGCAGCUGGUCGGACAGUCCAGCAGGCAGAAUGACUACAGUGCUUUACUUCCCACGCCGGACUUUGAAAUCUGACUGCCCCACUCGGCCAGGGAGAAAGCAGGGUAUUUAUUAAGGCGCCUUAGAUAGAUCUUUGUACUCAAAAAACAUCCUGUAUAAGUCUCAAACACCUCUUCUCUGCACUUUCCGGAAUAGACUUUUCUUUAAAGGGCAGGAGGGCACAUUAAAUAUCAGAGCACAGGGGACUUUUCUCUGACAUGAUUCUGUCCUGGCUGAAAGAAGGUUUUUGGGGAAAAGACUAUUUCCCCAGUAUGAGCACAGCCUCUAAGAGAUUCCACAAGGGGCAGUGAGUUAGAGAGGGAAAGGAGGGAGGCUGACUCACUGUUUGUUUUCCAAAAAUAAAAACUCAAACCAAACACAGUGAGACUCAGCUAUCCAGCUGGGUAUUCCAAGGAUUAACUGUCUGU
rnacentral:lncRNA from 1 species